rnacentral:tRNA from 1 species
UCCGAAGUGGUGUAACGGUUAGCAUUUACGGCUCUCACGGUCACUUCGAUCCAGUGCCUGUAAGAUCGGAGUUCAAUUCUCCGCUUCGGAA